rnacentral:rRNA from 1 species
UACGGGGGGGGGCAAGCGUUGUUCGGAAUUACUGGGCGUAAAGGGCGCGUAGGCGGCCUACUAAGUCGGACGUGAAAUCCCUCGGCUCAACCGAGGAACUGCGUCCGAUACUGGCAGGCUGGAAUCCGGGAGAGGGAUGUGGAAUUCCAGGUGUAGCGGUGAAAUGCGUAGAUAUCUGGAGGAACACCAAUAGCGAAGGCAGCUCGCUGGGACGGUACUGACACUAAGGCGCGAAAGCGUGGGGAGCGAACAGG